AUUAUUGUGCAAUUUUAUCAUUAUAUUUACCAUAUAUUUACUUCUCUCCUACACACCUACGUAUCUGCAAAAACCUUGUUAUUCUUUGGCUUUUUAAGGCAUUUAAAAUACAGCAACCAGUUCUUUAAUCUCCUGAUACGAAGGAAGCAUCCUUAAAAACCCCCCUUCCUAUAUCUAGUGAAGACACCAUAGACUAUACGUCAAUCAAAGCGUCUAGGGAGUUACAGGAGAUAACGGCUUCUUCAAAAGUUCUCAAGAAACUGAAAUAAAUGUGGGCAUGACUGACUGGAUAAUUAAGAAGGUUGAAAUAGGUGAUUCUAGCCUUCAGUCAAGGCACACUGACUGAGUCAGAAAGUAAUAAAUAAACAUAAAAAUAUCAAGGGGAAAAUCUGUAAGUGACAUUCCUCAUUCUGAGCUAAUAUUCAUGAACCAUGCAAGGAAGAACUGAGCCAACACAGAGAAACACAAAGAUUUUAUAGCUCUAUCUGAAAAGGAAAGUUGUAUGGAAUAAAUUAAGAUAGGCCUACCCUAUGCAUUCCUAUGGGCCAUAUGGAAUUAAGUGAUGGACCAGAGCUUGCCCCCAACUUGUCUAAAUCCCAAAGGAAUAAAUAAUUAAGGGCUAUGAACAUAAAGACUAGUGUUUUGGUUGUUGAAUGUAACUUUGCUUGAAGCAGGUUAUGCAUGUAGAGAAUCAAACAGCGAAUUCUAAAAGGCUAAGGCUUCUUCUUCUUAUAUAUAAAGACCAAGAAUGUAUUAUGACAUCACGAAAACAACUUUGCCACUGCCUAACACUCAGGCUUUGCCAGAACAAAGUCAGUAAGAUGGUGCGGUAAUCAGCCUCCAAGAUGGCUACCAAGGAUCCCUGCCAUCCGGUGUUGACAACCUUGUGGAACCUGAUCCCACAUUGUACCAGAGGUGGUCUGUGUGACUAACGGCACCUGGCAGAAGAGAUGGUUCUCGGAAAUAAAGCAGGCAGACCAAUUUCAAGUUUUAUAUAAUCAUGUAACGCUGGGUUUUUCGAUAAGUCAAAGACAUAUCUACUGGGGGAAAAUUGUGAAUCAUCAGAUGGACAUUUCCAGCUGUUGCAAGCCAGCAGCAUUUCAGAGAGGAGGAGGAAAGUCACAUCUGGCCAGAUC